rnacentral:rRNA from 1 species
CCCUUAGAUGUUCUGGGCCGCACGCGCGCUACACUGAUGCAUUCAACGAGCCUAUCCUUGACCGACAGGUCCGGGUAAUCUUUGAAUCUGCAUCGUGACGGGGAUAGAUUAUUGCAAUUAUUAAUCUUCAACGAGGAAUGCCUAGUAGGCGCAAGUCAUCAGCUUGCGUCGAUUACGUCCCUGCCCUUUGUACACACCGCCCGUCGCUCCUACCGAUUGGAUAUUCCGGUGAAAUUUUCGGAUUUGUGGGAGGUUAACUUCAACUGGCUUUGUCGGUUGAGACUCUCUGAAAAAGUUAAUUAAAUCUUAGUAUCUAGAGGAAGGAGAAGUCGUAACA